CCUACGGGGGGCAGCAGUGAGGAAUAUUGGUCAAUGGACGAGAGUCUGAACCAGCCAAGUAGCGUGAAGGAUGACUGCCCUAUGGGUUGUAAACUUCUUUUAUAUGGGAAUAAAACGUUCCACGUGUGGGAUUUUGUAUGUACCAUAUGAAUAAGGAUCGGCUAACUCCGUGCCAGCAGCCGCGGUAAUACGGAGGAUCCGAGCGUUAUCCGGAUUUAUUGGGUUUAAAGGGAGCGUAGGUGGAUUGUUAAGUCAGUUGUGAAAGUUUGCGGCUCAACCGUAAAAUUGCAGUUGAAACUGGCAGUCUUGAGUACAGUAGAGGUGGGCGGAAGUCGUGGUGUAGCGGUGAAAUGCUUAGAUAUCACGAAGAACUCCGAUUGCGAAGGCAGUUCACUGGACUGCAACUGACACUGAGGCUCGAAAGUGUGGGUAUCAAACAGGAUUAGAUACCCUUGUAGUC
rnacentral:rRNA from 1 species